rnacentral:rRNA from 1 species
UACGAAGGGGGCUAGCGUUGCUCGGAAUCACUGGGCGUAAAGGGCGCGUAGGCGGCCUGAUCAGUCGGGGGUGAAAGCCUGUGGCUCAACCACAGAAUGGCCUUCGAUACUGUCAGGCUUGAGACCGGAAGAGGUAAGUGGAACUGCGAGUGUAGAGGUGAAAUUCGUAGAUAUUCGCAAGAACACCAGUGGCGAAGGCGGCUUACUGGUCCGGAUCUGACGCUGAGGCGCGAAAGCUAGGGGAGCAAACAGG